AUUGAACGCUGGCGGCAUGCUUUACACAUGCAAGUCGAACGGUAACAGGGAGCUUGCUCCGCUGACGAGUGGCGAACGGGUGAGUAAUAUAUCGGAACGUACCCAGAAGUGGGGGAUAACGUAGCGAAAGUUACGCUAAUACCGCAUACGAUCCACGGAUGAAAGUAGGGGACCUUCGGGCCUUAUGCUUUUGGAGCGGCCGAUAUCUGAUUAGCUAGUUGGUGAGGUAAAGGCUCACCAAGGCGACGAUCAGUAGCUGGUCAGAGAGGACGACCAGCCACACUGGAACUGAGACACGGUCCAGACUCCUACGGGAGGCAGCAGUGGGGAAUUUUGGACAAUGGGCGCAAGCCUGAUCCAGCAAUGCCGCGUGAGUGAAGAAGGCCUUCGGGUUGUAAAGCUCUUUUGUCAGGGAAGAAACGGCUGUGGCUAAUAUCCACGGCUAAUGACGGUACCUGAAGAAUAAGCACCGGCUAACUACGUGCCAGCCGCCGCGGUAA
rnacentral:rRNA from 1 species